CUCUUUCUCUCUCUCAAAAAUAAAUGCACAUCUAAGAAGCAACUGGUUACCAAAACUCUUUAAAAAGAGAGAGAGAGAUUUAUUUUUGAGGAAUCGGUUCAUGUAAUGUGGGAACUGGCAGGUCUAAAAUCUGCAGGGCAUAUUGCUGGCAGGCUGGAAACUCAGGUCUCCAUUCUUCAUGAGUGAGCAAACUGCAUCACGAGUGCUGGCAAACCCGGGGCUGUCCUAUUUCUGAUGAUAAAGAAUCUUCCAUUUGUGAAAAGGAAAGACCAACCUUCUGUCAUCGACCUCCUUGCCACCUCCCAAGAGCACCCCUCAGUCCCAGCACUUCUCUCUUUUUCAAGUGACCAUGUCACACAGAAGCAUUGCCAUCAGGCUUGGUAUUGUGCCACCAAGCUCAUACCAAAUAUCCUGAGAGGUUGGCUUAGUCCAAUUGAGUGCAGCUUCUUUUAUCUUACACACUGCCUCGUGAUUCUUGGAAGGGAAGUGAUACCAGAUUUAGCUAUGGGAGAGUCUCCUCAUCAGGGUCCCCAGGGCAGUCUAGGUGACCCAGGCGUGUGAGCCAGCCAUCCCCAGUAUGUGUCUCUGGGAUGCUGAGGCCUUUAUUCUCUGUGCAUUGUAGGGCCCCUCUACCUGAGCCGAGAAGAGAAUUCCCUGGCAGAAAGCAGAGGCCUGUCUAGAAGCUGUGGCCCAUUAGCCUUGUACAAAGAUAGACUGUGCUCUGCUGUAAUCUAAUCUGGAAGCGUUUAAUACAUUUGCAGCACACGUGCCAGCUACUUAGGAGGAGGGAUGGUCAGUUUUUUUCUCUAAAAGAGAAACUUCAAGCUGACUAUAAAUCAGCCUUCUCAAUAUGCCCAUCAUACCUGACACUGAAAAGAGUCUUCAGUGAGGGGAAUCGUGGUCUCUGGGGAAGAACCUUGGCCAACAACGAAGAGAAAGAGAAGGAAGAGACCAAAAAAAAAAAAAAAAAAAAGGAAGGAGAGGCUCUCAUUGUGUUGAAUCAGAAACCACUUUUUCUCUGGAAGAAAUUCAGCAAGUGAGUGUCUUGUCAACUUACUCGAGUGAAAACAGGGGCAAUUAAGACAGGACAAACCAUCCCCAAAUGCUCAAGUUUGGGAUUCGUUGAACAUCUCAAGCUAUUUUCCAAACGUUUGGGGUUUGGCACAGUCCGGGCUCAUGGUUGGGAAAUUUUCCUGAAGAUCUGUCUGAAUGGCCCUAUUUUUAUUCCAUCCCCUUGCAGUUAAUAUCCGGCUAACUCAUUCGCUCCAUGUUUUGUACUGGCUACAUGUUGGAUAUCUUCAGACCCUACACGCGUCCGUUCCCCUUCAUGUGGUUCACCGAAAUCUCAGGAUAUCGUCUUCCUGCCAUUUGUGUCUCUUGGUCCACCAUCCUCGGGGAUUGGGAGAUGGCGGCAAGGACAGAAACGGGCCCACGUCACGUGCAGCGCUGCACAAGGAUUCCAAAAACGUUUCUCAAAGCCUCAGGAGGUGCAAGAGCUGACUGCACAGUUUUGAAAAGAUUGCAUACGGAGAGGGAUUGAACUUAUUCUCUCUGGCCCCAGAGGGGUGGAACUAGGACCAGAGACAUCUGUGGGCUCACUACAAGAAGGAACUUCUCAUUUCAGAGCAGCCAUAAGGACAAAGAGCUGUGUUGUCUUCGGCAGAAGACGUGGGUCUCCAUCCGAGGUUCGUAAUGGUCCUCCAUUAAUUUUUGGAGACUGAAAAAUGUAUCAAUAAAGGUAUUCAACUAUAGACAAUGGUUGGAUCGAACGA